UGUCCUUGAUAUGUAACAUUUGUGUGUCACUCCACUUCGGCUUACAUCUGAUCACAUUCCAUCCAAGUUUAUUUACGAACUAUAAACAGUGGUAAUAAAAGGGCUGGGUUGCCAAGACAUAAACUGCAUCUUCAUGUCAGCCAGUGAAUACUGAACACAACAUUGCUCGAUAUAGGUGUUCACAUUGUCAACAUUUUUCACCAACUCUCUCAAAGAUUUCCACUGUGAAGCCGCCAUGCAUUUUGUAACUUGGGUUAUGUGCAUAGCUGCUGCAUUGACAGUGCUUGUCCAGGAUGUGGACUGUCAACACCAGCCUGAUACCGCUGAUUGCAGUCUCUACACAAGUGGCAUCUGCACGCUCAUUUGGGCUCCAGUGUGUACCAGCACGGGAGUCACCUACGCAAACUUCUGCGUAUUUUGCGGGGCUUAUAAUAGAGGUGACGAGCCAGCUUCGGUGACCGUCCAGAACGGCGAGUGUAAACGCUAGAGGCUUCGGUCGUCAUCAUGGAUCUAUCGCUGCUGCUAAAUGACACCAUUACCGUUAACUUUCAUCAACAAAUUUCUUAUUGCCUGUAGGGCGGGAUAAUCCGCCAGAAGUAUAUUAGACGUUGUGCCCCGGGCUUCAGAAAACCAGUAAUUCGGGCCCCAUGAAAAUACAACUGUCAGAAAACAUACCAUCAUUUCUGACGUUAGAAUAUUCCUGCUUGCAUUAUCGGUCUCGGGAAAGCUUGAUCAAAGAAGCUAGAUAAUAGCGUACUGCAGUUUAGCAUCAAAACGAAGUAUAAAAGGCCCACCGCUUUCCAGCACCAAGAAAUAAUCGAUGCAGGCAAUUUGUUCAUACAGAGCCUACCUAACACUUAAUACAGUUCUGCUUAACCUACACUUGCUGGAAUUAAUGUGUUUGAGCGCUCAUUUUAAGAAUAACUGUUUCGUGCCAUUCUUCUUCGGGUGUGGGUGUUUACAAUGUAAUUUGCCCUGUGUAAAAUAAACUAAACAAAUUGAGAUACUUUCCCACGAGAAGUCCUUUGUCUAAUAUUAUUUUCCCUUUCAAGGUUGAAAAUAGAAUAGACUUAAGAUCCCUGAAAUGGAUAGAAAUCAUACGCAAGCCAUUAAAACUGUAAGCCUGGAUAAAUUUCAUGUUGAAUAUUAACUGUUGUUAUUUGGUUACAAUUUCGUUCCUUGUCUAUGUUCGUGUGUGAGUUAAACGGGCGAUGCACAGUGCAGAGCACCAUUUUUCGCGGGGCUUUGUGCGAAAUUUCUCACAAAUUCUAUUCCCUGGCCUCUGGCGGGGAAAUUUGAUUCUUUCCAGCGUUUGUCGUGUUUAUUUGUUAGAGUAGAAGAACUCCGAAUUUGAUGUGGAUCUCAUCUGGAGGCUACUCGUACCACAAAAGUCUAAGCAACUCAAACAAUCCACGAAUUCAAUUGCGUUCGGUCUUUCUACCGCUUAAAAUCUCAAAUUCUUGCAAAACCCUAGUCAUUGGGGUACGACGGACUCCAUUUAAGAGGGCAAAUGGGUUAUUCUAUAGAUUUUGGGUCCAGUUUUUCCUUGUUAAGUCUGCCCUAUGAUUUUUUUAAUGUUUACAACUCAUUGUUUAAUUUCAAAGACUGAAUAAGUACUGCAAAUUACCUUCCAAACAAAAAACAAUAGUUUGAAGUCAAUUGCAGUGAUACAUUCCUUACCAAACAUGUCAGAUGGUAUACGUGUCAGAGGACCACUAAAUUUAUAGAACGAACUAAAAACAUUUUCCUGGUACAUUCUGCGGCAGGUGGAACUUUGCUUUGUCAAGGAAAGUAAUUGUGGAGUCUGUAACGAAGUUGCAAGCACUUAUUCACUCAUUUUGGUGAGGCGAUGAGGGAUAGCGCUCAACCAGUGCCACUCGGCAUCGUUCACUGGAUUAACCAACAAUGAUUCACACUCAUGAGGGAAGUUGUUGCGGCAACCAAAGAGCUAAUCUGUGAAGAAUUUGACCAGUUGCUUGGUCAUUUGUUUCUGAUUCAUCCUAAUCUUUCAUUAGAAUGUGCUGCCACUGUUGAUUAAUUAACAUAUUACUGUAGGGAACCGUACCUGCGUAAGGCACACUUAUCUUUCCAAUACGCGUCACGGAGGUAAUUAACAUAAAGUUUAUACUUUUAAGGCGCUUCUUGUGCACGUAGGGUGAAGGUGGUUGCAGGGAGCAUGGCCUCGGCCAUGCUCCCAAGUGUGGGAAAGUGUCAAUGCUAGAAAUCCCUAGUAAGUACUUAUCAUUGUUUAAAUACUUUACACGAUCUUCUGUCGGACAAAUUGUACGAUUGUGGUAACUGCUUUCUGUGUUACAACGUGCCCCAGCUGUAUUAGUGUCAGCCUUUGACCAUCCAUUGUAUUGUUAUUUACGGUGCCAUCUAGCCAUUACUAUACACCAACUGUUUUCCUAUUUAA